GAUGAACGCUGGCGGCGUGCUUAACACAUGCAAGUCGAACGAUGAAGCCCAGCUUGCUGGGUGGAUUAGUGGCGAACGGGUGAGUAACACGUGAGUAACCUGCCCUUAACUCUGGGAUAAGCCUGGGAAACUGGGUCUAAUACCGGAUAGGAGCGUCCACCGCAUGGUGGGUGUUGGAAAGAUUUAUCGGUUUUGGAUGGACUCGCGGCCUAUCAGCUUGUUGGUGAGGUAAUGGCUCACCAAGGCGACGACGGGUAGCCGGCCUGAGAGGGUGACCGGCCACACUGGGACUGAGACACGGCGCAGACGCGUACUGGAGGCAGCGGUGGGGAAUAUUGCACAAUGGGCGCAAGCCUGAUGCAGCGACGCCGCGUUAGGGAUGACGGCCUGCGGGGUGUAAACCUCUUUCAGUAGGGAAGAAGCGAUAGUGACGGUACCUGCAGAAGAAGCACCGGCUAACUACGUG
rnacentral:rRNA from 1 species